GUUUAUGCCGCAAUGAGGCUUAAGCCACAGGUUUUAGAAAAUCGAAUUACAGAAACGAAGUCUGUUUUAAGCAGCAGCCUAAACACCCUAUGGAAAACCGGUAUUUUAAGCCACAGCUUAUGCGUGGCCAUAGGCUGGUCUAACCCUCGGCGAAAAGUGAUGCAAGCGCAUUUUUUGUUCAAUAAACAGACGAAAAGUCGCCAUUUCUUUUGCUAUUUCAUCAUUGAAAAUAGAUCUUUUACAGAUUGUAGAUGAAUGUAAUGGCAGGAAUAGAUGCUAUCUGAAGAGCAGAAAGGAAGGUAUCAUCAGAAGGCAAUGAAAAAUUG
rnacentral:lncRNA from 1 species